AAUGAACGCUGGCGGCAUGCCUUACACAUGCAAGUCGAACGGCAGCAUGACCUAGCUUGCUAGGUUGAUGGCGAGUGGCGCACGGGUGAGUCAUGCAUCGGAACGUGCCUUUUAGUGGGGGAUAACGUAGCGAAAGUUACGCUAAUACCGCAUAUUCUCUGAGGAGGAAAGCAGGGGACCUUCGGGCCUUGCGCUAGAAGAGCGGCCGAUGUCGGAUUAGCUAGUUGGUGAGGUAAAGGCUCACCAAGGCAACGAUCCGUAGCGGGUCUGAGAGGAUGAUCCGCCACACUGGGACUGAGACACGGCCCAGACUCCUACGGGAGGCAGCAGUGGGGAAUUUUGGACAAUGGGCGCAAGCCUGAUCCAGCCAUGCCGCGUGAGUGAAGAAGGCCUUCGGGUUGUAAAGCUCUUUCGGCUGGGAAGAAAUCGCACCCUCUAAUACAGGGUGUGGAUGACGGUACCAGCAUAAGAAGCACCGGCUAACUACGUG
rnacentral:rRNA from 1 species